AGCAUCCACUGAGUGCCAGUUUGAAAAAAAUUAUACCAAAGAUAAUGUCGUUUGCGUACAAAAACUAUGCAGUGGUCACCCGAAAACUGAUUGAAGUAAUUGAAGUAUGCAAAACAAGUGGGUUGAAAAUUACAGAUGGAGACUUCCAACUUUAUUUGGAUUUAACGUUGCACCAAGAACAGUAAGUCGAGGCUAAUAUUAAUAUAGCUAGCAAGCCAAUGCUUAGCUAACGUUAGCUGAACAGAUAAGUAACUUUACUAGCUAGCUACUUAAAUCAAUAAGGCUGGAAACUCACAGUUUGCAUACACAGCAAUCCCUUGCGUCCACCACAGCGUCUCCCCUAGCUUUUAAGUACCACAGGCUGUUUCAGCCAUUGUACAGCAAUGAUUUGUUUAAACAGACGAGUGUUGCAGGUUCCCUCCUCGACUCCUAUUUUGAUGUUGAAACAAGAUGACAAAUCAGCUUCUAAAUUAGAUGGGCACACACUGCAAUCUGCUAACGUUACUGUAUUGAAUUCACAAGGUAACGUAACAUUACUUCCUUCAUUGAAAAUGAAUGAUUUUCACCUUAUUCCUGUGUAUGCGAUCCAGUCUUUUGAGCCUGAGCACUAGACACAGUCAGUGGAUACAAGAUUGAUACAUCUUAUAAAAUCAAUAAACAAUCAGAAAUGUCUAAUGUUAGCUUGUUAUUGUCAUGUCAUUAACAUGACAAUAAACUCAAUGUUACUGUAACUAUAGAGACAAGGUUGAUAAUUACAAAUUCAUAAUCAAAUUAAGAAUAUGAGUAAUAAAUCUGCAGUUCGUGUAGGGCUAUGAAGCGUUUUCUGACAUCUAUUUAAUAUGCUUACCACUUACAGAUCUGAAGAAUACCAAAUGAACAAAAGCAUCACAAAUUAACCACAACAGCCUUCAGUCUCACAGUUCAUGGUUCAUGAGUUUUCUGCCCUUUCUGACAGUAGUUGACAGUAAGUUACAGCCGAGUGUGUCACAGAACAUUGACAUCAAAAGCAGAGAACGUCGCUGCAGAGAUACUUUCAAAAUUGGAAACUCAGUUGAGCAACACAGACCCUGUUCGUCACCGUGGACAUUCGGUCUGACCAAAAGAUGAAGGGGCUCCUUGGUGUCACUGUGCAACGUAUAGAGAGAGAUGCAGAAAAUAUACAGCUAAAGUCCAAUCUCUUAGCCUGUGGCUGCUUCAAAGGCUCACACACAGCCGAAAGAAUCUGUGAGUAAUUUGAAGCCACAUGUGAUGAGUACAACAUUAAAGAUAAAUUGGACUAUAAGGGACAUGUAGAAAGCAUUCACAGUGUGCUUCCCCAUUGAACAAGUAUGUGACGAAGAUCAUUUUGAUGACCCAGAGUUCUGGCAUGACCUAACCCUGGAAGAUCAGCAAACACCAGGAUUUUGCGUUCACUCUCCAGCUGUCGACAGGAGACUGAAAGAAAUGAAAGUGACAACUUAAUCUCUUUCAAAGUUAUCCAAACUCAGCUCAUUGCUGCACACGAGCGUGAUGUUCAAAGAUGUUUUUGAUGCUAAAUUUGGGGAACAAAGAGGCAUCCCUGCUGCUGUCAACACAAGAUAGAACUCAACACUGCAGCGAGUGAGGGCAGUUCUUCAAUGUGAUCUUCUAAAGCUCCGUCACGUUCUAGAAAAGGUUGGGCACACGGAGUUGUCAUUCACAGCACGGGAGUGGAAUCUGUUAAAGGAGUUGGUGGACAUCUUGAAGCUGUUUGGAGAAGCAACAGAUUUGACACGAGGAGAAGAUACUCACAAUCAGUUCUGUUGUUCCCUCUGUCCUGUCCCUGAAUCACCACCUUGUGUCUUGAGCAGCCUGGUCAGAAGUCUCCUGAACCAAAGAUUUCUUGGAAUCUUCAUCAGUGUGAAAAUGACCAGGACGCAAGAUGGAAUCACUGCCCCCUUUUCAGAUCCAGUCUACCUCAAAGCAGCUGCCUUGGAUCCACCUGUUUCUCUGAUAACUGAUCCUGCAAAAUGCUGCAGAGACUGAGCAACCUGUGCCUCUUGUUGAGAGGACUUUGGACCAGGGGAAGGGCUGUUUGCCGCAUACCAUAAGAGUCAGAUGAAGGAUGUUGGGACCACUCCAGCACUACAGCUGAGUCACUACCUUUACAUAUCCAAAGGACAAAACGCCCUUUUGUUCUGGGCAAUGAACAUGAAGGCUUUUCCUUCACUGUUCUGAUUGGCCAUCAGGGUCUUGGCUGUGCCUGCAUUCAGUGCUCCAGCGGAGCAAGUUUUUAGCAAUGGUGGCAUCAUACUGCGGCCUCAUCGUGCACAAAUGACUGACAGACUUUUGGCCAAUUUGGUCUAUUGCAAAGGCAAUACAUCAUAGGGCCUUGAGAUGACAGAAAAAGCACAACCCUGUGGGUGAAUGAAACUGUUUAUGCAUCUGUUAUGUUUCUCUCUCUCUCAUUUAGACAAAAAAACAUAAAACGUGUGACAAACGUCUUAAAAAUUUGGGAAGAGAAAGUUAUAGACAUUGUUCCAAAAUGAGAUAAGUUAAAUACAACAAAAUCCAUACUGUUGUGGUACUGGUUAGUAGUGCUAUAUGCUAUGAAAGUACAAUGUCAGCACUACUUUUUUAUGAUUAAGUUCAGUCACACUUGUUUUAACAAACUUGUUUAUCUGAUUGAGGUCAAAUGAGGCCCUGUGAAUUAUACUCUGAGCCACAAGGUGUAGCCUGAUGCCACUGAUAAAAUGUUUGUGA